rnacentral:rRNA from 1 species
AUGUUCUUUUGGUUUACUUAAAAGAUUUGGUCUGCUCACUGAAUGUUUAAAGAGCUGCAGUAUUAUGACUGUACAAAGGUAGCAUAAUCAUUAGUCUUUUAAUUGGGGGCUUGUAUGAAAGGCUUGACUGGAAAAUACUAUCUUAAGUUGAAUAAAUGAAGUUUUCGUUUUUGUUAAAAGACAAAAAUGUGCGUAAGGGACAAGAAGACCCUUUUAAACUUAAUUAAGGUUGUGUUGUUUUUUGUAUUAUUUAUUGGGACAACAUAGAUAAAAUUUGGCUGGGGCGGCAGAUAUGAAAAACAAUAUCUGAGAUAAAUAUAAAGCUGGUUUUAAGAUCCUUUUAGUAGGAAAAAGGAAGAAGUUACUAAAGGGAUAACAGCGUGAUAUAUUUUGAGAGUUCUUAUUGACAAAUGUGUUUGCGA